UACGUAGGGGGCUAGCGUUGUCCGGAAUCAUUAGGCGUAAAGCGCGUGUAGGCGGUCCGGUAAGUCCGCUGUGAAAGUCGAGGGCUCAACCCUCGAAUGCCGGUGGAUACUGUCGGGCUAGAGUGCGGAAGAGGCGAGUGGAAUUCCUGGUGUAGCGGUGAAAUGCGCAGAUAUCAGGAGGAACACCUAUUGCGAAGGCAGCUCGCUGGGACGUUACUGACGCUGAGACGCGAAAGCGUGGGGAGCAAACAGG
rnacentral:rRNA from 1 species